GACGAACGCUGGCGGCGUGCUUAACACAUGCAAGUCGAACGGAAAGGCCCUGCUUGCAGGGUACUCGAGUGGCGAACGGGUGAGUAACACGUGGGUGAUCUGCCCUGCACUUCGGGAUAAGCCUGGGAAACUGGGUCUAAUACCGGAUAUGACCUUCCAUGUAGUGUGGGGGGUGGAAAGAUUUAUCGGUGUGGGAUGAGCCCGCGGCCUAUCAGCUUGUUGGUGGGGUAAUGGCCUACCAAGGCGUCGACGGGUAGCCGGCCUGAGAGGGUGGACGGCCACAUUGGGACUGAGAUACGGCCCAGACUCCUACGGGAGGCAGCAGUGGGGAAUAUUGCACAAUGGGUGGAAGCCUUAUGCAGCGACGCCGCGUGGGGGAUGACGGCCUUCGGGUUGUAAACCUCUUUCGACAGGGACGAAGCUUCGGUGACGGUACCUGUAGAAGAAGCACCGGCUAACUACGUG
rnacentral:rRNA from 1 species